GAUUAGGAAAAUAGAGACUGGGGAAACUAGUGAGGGGCGGGGGGAAUCUGAGACAUUCAGGAGUUUACAACACACUCACCCUUCCCUCCCACUCCUCUAUCCUUGCAUCUUGCUCAUCAGCCUUUCCAUUCCAUGGGCUCUUAACAGGAUAAGCUGAAAAAGAAAUUCAAGUGCAUCCAGCCCCAGGUAUACACUUCUGUACUGCCUUGGGCACUACUUCCCUAUGUGCUUGUCUGUAUGUCCAUCUGCUUCUUGCCUGUUUGUCCCAUUGAGGUGGCUGCCAGACCUAACAUUCUUCCUUUGCUCCUGGGAUCCUUGACAUCUAUGUCACUGACAAGUGUUGUGAAAUCAAAUGUCUGUUGUUGCCUCUGUCAACCAGUAUAGUGCAAGGAUCUCGGAUGGGUAGCAACACAAAUCCCAUUUCACUCCUGGUGCUUAGACCCUGGGAGAGGGAAUCAGGUAACCUGUCAGAAAGCAUUUACUAUGUAUUUAGCUGGGACAGAGACAGGAGAGACAGUAGAGGAGUUACAGAUCCUGACUUGGGAAUUCCCUAUCAAGUUGGUAAAAAAUAAGUAUUAUACACGACAGUAGAAAAGAAGAUUCCUAAAUACAUUUAUAUACUACUUUGGAAUUUACAAACUACACAUAACUUUUUGAUGUAAUUAAAUACUAAAAUGAAUAAGAGUCACACUGCAAGAGGUUCUAAGAUGGGAGAUCUAUAAGUGUGUGUUCAAAGCAGUUUAGUUUAGAGAAGAGAGUGGGCCUGGAGUCCAGAGACCAAGUUUUAGCUAUACACCUUGAUUGAAUAAAUCUUCCCUCCCCUCUGGGUUUCAUUUUCCUUAUUAGUAAUAGAGAGAUGAUAAUACAUGUUUAAAAGCAAACAUCUCCUGGGUUGGGGUUGUAACCCAGAAGUAGUAGUGUACUUGCUUAGUAUGCUUGAGGCCCCAAGUUUAAUCACCA
rnacentral:lncRNA from 1 species